AUGCUAGACAUCCUCGCUACCACCACAACCUAUCCAAGCAAGCAACAGAUCGAGGAGGACGGAGGCACGGCGCGACGACGACCGUGGCAUGGAUUAAGAGCAUGCUCAUGGGCUCAUGGCCUAGGAGCGAAUCGGGCAUCCUGGAUCAUGACGGAAGCUGGAAGCCGCGGGGGCUGCCCGAAGAAGAGGGCGACGAAUCGGCGGUGGAAGAGGGUGUGUCUGUGGUUAUCGCCUUCCAAGACGACGCGACUUGAUGAUUUAGAUUCGCCUUCCGAGACGAUGCGACGUGGCAAUUCAGAUUUCUCUCCUUCCUCGCCUCAACGACAUGCUCUGCUUCUCUAG
rnacentral:rRNA from 1 species